AAGACGUAGGGCGCGAGCGUUGUCCGGAUUUAUUGGGCGUAAAGGGCUCGUAGGCGGUUGAUUGCGUCCGCCGUGAAAGGCCUCGGCUUAACCGGGGUUUUGCGGUGGAUACGGGUCGACUUGAGGCAAUUAGGGGAGAUCGGAAUUCUACGUGUAGCGGUGAAAUGCGCAGAUAUGUGGAGGAACACCGGUGGCGAAGGCGGAUCUCUGGGAUUGUUCUGACGCUGAGGAGCGAAAGCGUGGGGAGCGAACAGGA
rnacentral:rRNA from 1 species